CAGCCGCCGCGGUAAUACGUAGGUCCCGAGCGUUGUCCGGAUUUAUUGGGCGUAAAGCGAGCGCAGGCGGUUAGAAAAGUCUGAAGUGAAAGGCAGUGGCUCAACCAUUGUAGGCUUUGGAAACUGUUUAACUUGAGUGCAGAAGGGGAGAGUGGAAUUCCAUGUGUAGCGGUGAAAUGCGUAGAUAUAUGGAGGAACACCGGUAGCGAAAGCGGCUCUCUGGUCUGUAACUGACGCUGAGGCUCGAAAGCGUGGGGAGCGAACAGGAUUAGAUACCCCAGUAGUCCCUGUCUCUUAUACA
rnacentral:rRNA from 1 species